GUGUCAGCAGCCGCGGUAAUACGUAGGCAGCGAGCGUUGUUCGGAGUUACUGGGCGUAAAGCGUGCGUAGGCGGUGGCCCAAGUCUGGUGUGAAAUCUCCCGGCUUAACUGGGAGGGUGCGCCGGAAACUGGGUUGCUGGAGUACCGGAGAGGCAAGCGGAAUUCCUGGUGUAGCGGUGAAAUGCGUAGAUAUCAGGAGGAACACCCGUGGUGUAGACGGCUUGCUGGACGGUCACUGACGCUGAGGCACGAAAGCGUGGGGAGCAAACAGGAUUAGAUACCCUGGUAGUCC
rnacentral:rRNA from 1 species